rnacentral:SRP_RNA from 1 species
GAUUCUGCGCAAUGCGCUGUUGUGAACCAUGUCAGGGCCGGAAGGCAGCAGCAUUAAGCAAAUUUGCCCAUGUGCCGCAGC